UCCGUUGAUCAGAUUAAUAGCCCUAGGUUCUCUAUCAAUGUUUUGCAACUCUUGAAAUCGGCUCAGAUGCAGCAUGGAUUGCGGUUUGGCGAUUACGCUCGUUACCGGAGGUACUGUACUGCUCGGCUAAGGAGAUUGUACAAGUUGUUGAAAUUCACGCAUGGCCGCGGUAAAUAUGGUAAAAGGGCGAUUACAGCUUCUAUGGUUACUGAAAUGAGGUAAUAGAUUGCCAAGACCAAUGGUUGAAUUUGAUUGACAUUACAGUUGGUAAAUGUUUUAAU